rnacentral:lncRNA from 1 species
UUGGAAAACAGUAUGAAAGGGCCCAACAUACAUGUGGAGAAAAAGAGAGUAGGGAAAUAAAAAGGAGACCGAUAGUGGAGUGUCAUAGGAAGAGGAUUACAGCCAUACAUUUAAAAAAUAUUUUCAACUAUGUCAUAGAGAUAUUGCCGUCUAUCAAGCCCAAUUUAUGGCUAUUUACACAAUAGAUCAAUACAUUGUUGAAAUGACAAUGGAUACGAGGUUGAUCGUGUACCUGCAAUGAAACUGAACAACAACGUGAACACCACUGAUAAAAGCAGCAUUGUUAACAAAACCAGACAUUAAGAUUAUAGAGAUAAUAUGUCUUGGUAAGUGCCUGAUUAAAUAUUUUGAACAUGGAAAAGGAUGGCUUAAGCCAACAAAGGCACAAGACAAAGUCAAUUUGAACACACAAGGAUCGGUUGGGGCGAGGUGAGUUUACAUAAAAACCGCCACGGCACCAUUCCAAUCACCCGUGCAUUUUCUCUCCCUCGUAGUUCUCUUAGGAGGUGUAGGAGGUGGAGCUGGACCAAUACUUGUAUAAGUUCUAUACUGGAAGAGACAAGGUACACAGUGUUUCCCUUAACCGUGUGGACAUUACUUGUUUGCUUAUAGUCUUAUGACCAAUUAUACUUCAGGUCCGAGAGACACUUGUUAAUAAGUCUAUAAUAAACUCUCUAUGAUAGAUUAUUCGAUCACAUGCCGGAUCAAUUGUUUUCUUGGUCAACAUACAGUGGUUAGUGCUUAGUUAAACUUCUGUCGUGAACGUGACAGAUAUGGAGAUCACAAACAAUCAAAGUCAGAUGAGGUAAAAAGACCAUACCCGGAGAGUCUGGGGUCAGGGGUCAGGGCAGCCUGUCUAGAGGAAAAGACAUGUGGCCAGCCAGCAAGUGUUGUUACCCAGGAUGUGGUGUGAUUUUAGAUAUCUUUCCCACUCUCUAUGUCUCUCACUCUAGCCCGGUGACAGUUUUUGUUUUGAGCCAGAGAAAUAGACACCCAAACAUGACACUGCUGUGGAUCAGGUAACAGAGAGAGAGAGAGAAAAAGAGAGAAAGAGAGAAAGAGAGAAAGAGAGAGAGAGAGGCCACUCCAUUCCUCUGUGCCACCGCUGGCCAUUCCUUUGAAGCAGUGAGGCCAGAGACUUGACAGCUCACAUGUCCUGUUAUUGUUGUAGUCAUGUCUUGUUAAUGUGACAAGUUGAUGCCCUCCACCAUCCCUGUCAGGCUGAGUUGGUGUGGAAAAACAUCUCAGGUGUCAUGACAAGAAAAUCUGACAUUCAGUGUUUUUCACCACCACCCACACACACACACACACCACCAGUACCAGUACCACCACCUAAACUUAUCCUUAGUGGCUGUUGUUAACCUUGUUUGUCAGUAAAUCUAGAGUAGACUGUUGUAACGCCCUGGCCAUAGAGAGGGGUUUUUGUUCUUCAUUUUUGGUUAGGCCAGGGUGUUACAUUGGGUGGGCGUUCUAUGUUAAUUUUUCUAUGGUUUUGUAUUUCUUUGUUUUGGGCCGUGUGUGGCUCCCAAUCAGGCACAGCUGUCGUUCGUUGUUGCUGAUUGGGAGUCACACAUAAGGAGCCUGUUUUUCCUUUGGGUUUUGUGGGGGAUUGUUUCUGUUUCGUGUUUGCACCUGACAUACUGUUAGGCUGUCGGUUUUCUUGUUUUUGUAUAGUGUUCACGUUGUUUAAUAAAUUCCUGAAGAUGAACACUAACUCCGCUGCACCUUGGUCUACUCUCUCUUCAGACAGCCGUUACAACUGUACCCUGAAUAAUUAUUAUCAUGCCUCCAAGACCACGAUUUAUGAAAAUCCUGUGGGUUUCUCUAUUCGGAUAAAACUACAAAUCCUACGGGUGUCACGUCCUGACCCUUGUAAGGGGUCAUUUUCUAUAGUAGAGUGGUCAGGGCAUGACAGGGGGUGUUUUGGGUGGUUUUCUU